rnacentral:rRNA from 1 species
UAGGGAAUCUUCCGCAAUGGACGCAAGCCUGACGGAGCAACGCCGCGUGAGUGAAGAAGGAUCUCGGUUUGUAAAACUCUGUUGUUAGAGAAGAACAGCGCAUAGAGAAACUGUUAUUAGUGUGACGGUAUCUAACCAGAAAGCCACGGCUAACUACGUGCCAGCAGCCGCGGUAAUACGUAGGUGGCAAGCGUUGUCCGGAUUUAUUGGGCGUAAAGCGAGCGCAGGAGGUCACUUAAGUCUGAUGUGAAAGCGCCCGGCUCAACCGGUGAAGCUCAUUGGAAACUGGUAGACUAGAGUUCAGAAGAGGAAAGUGGAAUUCCAUGUGUAGCGGUGAAAUGCGUAGAUAUAUGGAGGAACACCAGUGGCGAAGGCGACUCGCUAGUCUGUAACUGACACUGAGGCUCGAAAGCGAGGGUAGCAAACGGG